CCUUCAGCUACAGCCAUGCAACGCCUCUCCAAUUUAAGGGAACUUCGCAUUCUUGGUUGUCUAUUCCCUGGGAAAAAUUACGCCAAGGGCAGUGGCUCUGAAUGGUCCAAGAUUUCUCAUGUACCGUACAUUUAUAUACGAGAAGAAUGUGUAGGCUGAUCAAAAGACAAAGGAAGAAGGAGAAGUGGAAUAGUUAGGCCAUGGAUGAUGGUUGUUGCUACCCUCAACCUCUUGAGCUUGUAAAAAGGAGAGUUUGGGAUGAGGAAGAGUAGAAUUUGGGAGUUAUAGAUGAUUGACCAAACAUAAUUUAGCC